GAUGAACGCUAGCGGCAGGCCUAAUACAUGCAAGUCGAACGGUGUCUUCGGACAUAGUGGCGCACGGGUGCGUAACACGUAUGCAACCUACCUUACAUUGGGGGAUAGCCUUUCGAAAGGGAGAUUAAUACCGCAUAAGACAGUAGCUGGGCAUCCAGCAGCUGUUAAAGAUUUAUCGAUGUAAGCUGGGCAUGCGUCCAAUUAGCUAGUUGGUGAGGUAACGGCUCACCAAGGCAAUGAUUGGUAGGGGAACUGAGAGGUCAAUCCCCCACACGGGCACUGAGAUACGGGCCAGACUCCUAUGGAAGGCAGCAGUAGGGAAUAUUGGGCAAUGGACGCAAGUCUGACCCAGCCAUGCCGCGUGCAGGAUGAAGGCGUUAUGCGUUGUAAACUGCUUUUAUACAGGAAGAAACGACUCUUGCGAGAGGCAUUGACGGUACUGUAUGAAUAAGCACCGGCUAACUCCGUGCCAGCAGCCGCCGUAAAAC
rnacentral:rRNA from 1 species